GGGUAGUGGGAGAGCGUCAAAAGUAGCGCGCUUGGCUCGGACACUCCCAGCCUGUUCAAUGAACGUCCGGAUCUGCUCGUAGGACUGAGUGUAGGCUCGUCGAUACCUGUUGACGACAGUAGCAUCCAGUGGUACCAGGGACCAAUCUUCGUGUUCCAGAUUGAUACCGAGUCCCAAAGGAAGACGAAGCUGCUGAGCGGAUGUCAGAAACUCCACUCUCACUCCCAUUGUAG
rnacentral:lncRNA from 1 species